UGGGGAAUAUUGCACAAUGGGCGCAAGCCUGAUGCAGCCAUGCCGCGUGUAUGAAGAAGGCCUUCGGGUUGUAAAGUACUUUCAGCGGGGAGGAAGGGAGUAAAGUUAAUACCUUUGCUCAUUGACGUUACCCGCAGAAGAAGCACCGGCUAACUCCGUGCCAGCAGCCGCGGUAAUACGGAGGGUACAAGCGUUAAUCGGAAUUACUGGGCGUAAAGCGCACGCAGGCGGUUUGUUAAGUCAGAUGUGAAAUCCCCGGGCUCAACCUGGGAACUGCAUCUGAUACUGGCAAGCUUGAGUCUCGUAGAGGGGGGUAGAAUUCCAGGUGUAGCGGUGAAAUGCGUAGAGAUCUGGAGGAAUACCGGUGGCGAAGGCGGCCCCCUGGACGAAGACUGACGCUCAGGUGCGAAAGCGUGGGGAGCAAACA
rnacentral:rRNA from 1 species